rnacentral:rRNA from 1 species
UACGGAGGGGACUAGCGUUGUUCGGAAUUACUGGGCGUAAAGCGCGCGUAGGCGGAUUUGCAAGUCGGGGGUGAAAGCCCGAGGCUCAACCUCGGAACUGCCCUUGAUACUGGGAGCCUUGAGUUCGGGAGAGGUGAGUGGAACUGCGAGUGUAGAGGUGAAAUUCGUAGAUAUUCGCAAGAACACCAGUGGCGAAGGCGGCUCACUGGCCCGAUACUGACGCUGAGGUGCGAAAGCGUGGGGAGCAAACAGG